UACGGUAGGGGGCUAGCGUUAGUCCGGAAUCGAUUGGGCGUAAAGAGCUCGUAGGCGGUUUGUCGCGUCUGCCGUGAAAGUCCGGGGCUCAACCUCGAACUUGCGGUGGGUACGGGCAGACUAGAGUGUGGUAGGGGAGACUGGAAUUCCUGGUGUAGCGGUGAAAUGCGCAGAUAUCAGCAGGAACACCCGUGGCGAAGGCGGCUCCUGGGCCGCGCCUGACGCUGAGACGCGAAAGCGUGGGGAGCGAACGGG
rnacentral:rRNA from 1 species